rnacentral:lncRNA from 1 species
UCAUACCUCCAUAUGAUCUAGUCCCUCAUGGGACUAUGUCGUGUGUAUCGCAUUGCCACGAACUGUUCCAUCACGAUCCGCUACACCAUGUUGCCUCCUGGUGACAUCUCUAUUGCAUUCUGAUCCUUGUGGGAUGAACUCGAAUUGUGAUCCCUCCAUAUGUGGCCUCUGCCAAUACAUCGCAGGGUCUCUUCCACCUUCGAUUUUGUU